rnacentral:lncRNA from 12 species
CCAAGACUCAGCUACUCCUGGACCUGAAGUUUGGUUUUCAGAGGUGUUGCAGUUUAUACAAGCUCUAAAAAAGGAGGACAUUAGAAGCCUUGAGUACUUCUACUACAGUUAUUGGAAGCACCCGUUCACCAAAAGGGGCUUGUGGUUGAGUAGACUACUGCCUGUGCUCAUUUGGAACAAGAAUAUGUUUUAGAGUGAGGCAAAUAUGGGACUAGCCUCCAUCAUGUACUAACAGGUACUUGCUAUAAUCCCUAACUUCAGGUUUAUUUUGAGGAUUAAAUGAAAUAACAUAUGAAAAACCCUGCACAUGGUCUAAAAAUCUAGUAGUUGUUCAUUCUGUUCAUCACUUGACAAUUAUGUAUUAAAUAAUCACUAUGCAUAAAAUGGCCUGAAGUUGGGUUUGAUCUAUCAAAUAUGCAAACAAUAUUUGAUUUUUUUUCUCAAAAAUAACUUGACUCAAUAUCCUAGAGAGUAUAUAUACACAUUUCUGAGGGAACACUGUAAAAUCACUGGAGACCUGACAAUAUCUAUUUGGACAUGCUCCUUAGGUAAUUCUUAUAAACUUUAAAUAAACAAGAUUGAAUUUUUAGCUUUAAGGUUGAU